AGCGAACGCUGGCGGCAGGCCUAACACAUGCAAGUCGAACGGACCCUUCGGGGUUAGUGGCGGACGGGUGAGUAACACGUGGGAACGUGCCCUUUGGUUCGGAACAACUCAGGGAAACUUGAGCUAAUACCGAAUGUGCCCUUUGGGGGAAAGAUUUAUCGCCAUUGGAGCGGCCCGCGUCUGAUUAGCUAGUUGGUGGGGUAAUGGCCUACCAAGGCUACGAUCAGUAGCUGGCCUGAGAGGAUGAUCAGCCACAUUGGGACUGAGACACGGCCCAAACUCCUACGGGAGGCAGCAGUGGGGAAUCUUGCGCAAUGGGCGAAAGCCUGACGCAGCCAUGCCGCGUGAAUGAUGAAGGUCUUAGGAUUGUAAAAUUCUUUCACCGGGGACGAUAAUGACGGUACCCGGAGAAGAAGCCCCGGCUAACUUCGUGCCAGCCGCCGCCGCGGUAA
rnacentral:rRNA from 1 species